rnacentral:rRNA from 1 species
GAUCAACGCUGGCGGCGUGCCUAAUGCAUGCAAGUCGGGCGCGGACCCUUUCGGGGGUGCUGCGCGGCGGACGGGUGCGUAACACGUGGGCAACCUGCCCUGGGGUGGGGGAUAGCCGUGGGAAACCGCGGGUAAUUCCGCAUACGUUCGGGUCUCGACGGGGGAUCUCGAAGAAAGGGAGCAAUCCCGCCCGAGGAGGGGCCUGCGGCCGAUUAGCUUGUUGGUGAGGUAACGGCUUACCAAGGCGAUGAUCGGUAGCUGGUCUGAGAGGACGGCCAGCCACACGGGGACUGAGACACGGCCCCGACUCCUACGGGAGGCAGCAGCAAGGAAUCUUCCGCAAU